rnacentral:rRNA from 1 species
AUGUGAAUUGCAGAAUUCAGUGAAUCAUCGAAUCUUUGAACGCACCUUGCGCCCUUUGGUAUUCCGAAGGGCACACCUGUUUGAGUGUCGUGA